rnacentral:rRNA from 1 species
CCCUUAGAUGUUCUGGGCCGCACGCGCGCUACACUGACGAAUGCAACGAGCUUAUAACCUUGGCCGAAAGGUCUGGGUAAUCUCCAAAUUUCGUCGUGAUGGGGAUAGAUUAUUGCAAUUAUUAAUCUUCAACGAGGAAUGCCUAGUAAGCGCAAGUCAUCAGCUUGCGUUGAUUACGUCCCUGCCCUUUGUACACACCGCCCGUCGCUCCUACCGAUUGAAUGGUCCGGUGAAGCGUACGGACCGUGGCCUUUGGACGGUUCGCCGUCUGUUGGCUGCGGGAAGUUCGUUAAACCUUAUCAUUUAGAGGAAGGAGAAGUCGUAACA